rnacentral:rRNA from 1 species
AUGUUGAGUGAAUACGCUCACCGUGGCAAUUGUGUCACAGCAAUCAAACGCAGCAUAAUCCCUCCCACCAAGAGUUGGCUUGGCUACCGUCAAAAAAAAAAAGAGUUGGCUUGGCUGGGAGCAGCCAUGAGCAUGCUGGGGAGUGUGAUUGCAGGUGCCGUGGGGAAACAAAUCUUGAGCAAGCUUUCGUCCGAGAUCACUUUGCAGUGCGGGUACAGAGAGAAGGUGCUGGAGAUGGAGGAGAAGAUGAAAGGUGUCGAGGCCUUGCUAGGCGAUGCCGACGACAGGUCUCGUCGACAAGGCCAAGGUGGUGGAAGAGUGUUUCAGCGUUGGCUUACCAAGUUUAAGCAUGCCGCCUACGACAUGGAGGACGUGCUGGAUGAGCUGGACGCCAACAAGCUCAUCAACAAUACCCAACCCAAGGUCAACUUGUGGUUUUCCAAACACAAUCAACUCUUGCAGCGGGUAACAAUGCCCCACAAGAUGAAGAACGUGAUGAAGAAAAUAGACAAAAUUGAAAAGGAGGGUGGUAGGGUGCUCAACCUUGUCCCUCAAGAAGCAAGGGGAGAAGGGAACAGAAAUCAGGAAACUUUUGCAGCCAACUGGAAUGGUGUUGGCAUGCACACUAGAAUGGUGGGGAGGGAUAUGGAGAAGGAGAAGAUAAUCAGCCUGCUACUCACAAGUGAAGCUAACCAGGAUAUCUCCAUCAUUUCAGUUGUUGGACUUGGUGGCAUAGGCAAGACCACAUUGGCUGAAUCGGUUCUUGCAGACAAGAGGGUCAGUGUCUUUGACGCCUUAGUCUGGGUCCAUGUGUCCAAGGAAUUUGAUUUGCACAAAAUUGGGAGUGCCAUCCUAAAAAGCUUGGUUAGCAACAUCAACCUUAACAAUUGUACUAUGCAGUUUCUGUAUGAUAAUCUGAGCAAAGAACUUGCUACUAGAAGAUACUUGAUUGUUCUGGAUGAUCUCUGGGAAGAAGACGCAGAUAAACUUGAAAGUUUGAAGCGGAUGUUACAGCAUGGCCGCAAGGGUAGCAGGAUUAUAGUAACGACCCGAAACCAAAGCGUAGCGCAACAACUGCAAACUAGUUUUCUUGUUCUUGCGGCCAAGGCUCACGAAAUCAACUUGGAUGUUUUAGAACCUGGUGACUGUUGGGAAUUAAUGAAGCAAAAGGCAUUCGGGCCUGAUGAUCAUGACAGUCGCUUGGAAGAAAUUGGAAAGCAGAUUGCAUGGAAGUGUGGGGGUUUACCGCUCGUGGCAAAUGCUCUUGGGCAAGUAAUGUCGGAGCUAAGGACCGUGGGGGCAUGGGAAGAUAUAAGAGACUCCAAGGUUGAUCUGGGCUUGAAAGGACAUCAGAAAGAAACAUUAGAGAGGCUAAUGCUGAGCUAUUACUACAUGAAGAUAGAAUUCAAAAUGCGUUUCACGUACUUGGCAGCCUUCCCCAAGGGCUUUGUCAUGGAUAGCAAUCGUCUAAUCCAGCAAUGGAAUGCCCUUGGAUACAUUUAUCCAGAGUAUGAUGGUCAAAAGUGCAUCAACUACCUUUUGGGGAUGUCUUUUCUUCGGAUUCCAGGGUCCUCUUCGGUUAGUCCAAGUCCAUUGCAUUCCAAAGCUCCUCCAGAACUCGUCAUGCAUGAUUUGGUGCAUGAUCUUGCAUCAAUAAUUGUUGCUGAUGAAUUAAUUGAUCUAGAUGGAACCAAAAGCACCACCUGGAAUAGAGCUCGUUACUGCCGACAUGCGCAGUUAACAAACUUCAAGAAUGAUCCUAAAGUUUUCAAAUAUAUUCCAAACAAGCUUAGAUCCCUCCACUUUAGAGAUUUGGGGGGACUGCAACUCCCGAAAAAGGCAUUUUCUCGGUCCAAUUACAUACGUGUCUUGGACCUAAGUGGACAUUCAGCGAAUGGCCAAUCUGCUCCAAGUAGCGUGAUGCUGCCAUCUUCCAUUUGUCAGUUGAAGCUACUUAGGUAUCUGUCGCCUCAGAAAACUUUGCUAUUUGGACCUAUCUGGUAG